GACCCCCAGCUGACCUCCGCAGAGAGAGGAUGGCAGUAGCUGUUUAAAAAGACCUCCGUUCCACAAGGUCCAAGUACUGGCGACAAGGGCUAUCCAUCCAUUUAUUUCACUGGUGCUGAAGACUGAAGAUGACUCACACAUGAACCUCCCUCCAAACAUUCGCGACCACACAAUGUCAAACUCAGUCCUGAUGAAGAAAAAAACGGACCACCCGGCUUCACCAAGACUCAGUCCUUUGGUAGAAUGAUGGACUUUCACAUUUUUGCGGUCUAGGCUGAGGUGAAUCCCGUGGGGGAGGGGACGGAGUGACCUGCUGUGAUGCACCAAAGGAGGGAAAAGAUCAUGCAUGCAUCACACAUCUUCAGAAAGGAGGGAUGGGAGGAAACCCGUGAGGCAAAUGGAGUUCCUCAUCCUCUGGGACGGUCUGUCGGAGAACAUUUCCUUCAGAGCUUCACCGGCUCCGUAUACAUUUUACAUACAGACGAGAGUGCUCUGAACUGAGCGUGAACCUCACUUGCGUGUUUCGUGAUUCAGACUGUUGUUAGAUGGGACGUGUCUACCUCUUA